GGAAGGGUCGCAUAGAGGCCUAGUGCGGAGGUCUUGAAAACCUCUUCCCACCUUUGGUGGGACGUGGGUUCGAAUCCCACCCCUUCCG
rnacentral:tRNA from 1 species